GGUGGGGGCAGCCGGGUGUGGCACCCUCGUCGUCCAGCAACGGCUCCCGACCCACGCCAACCGCCGGACGGAGCGAUGGGUCCAUUAGGCCUCGGCGCCUCGGUUUGAUGGUGACAUGGGCAAAGCACCCAUUACUACCAAUUCAGCGGGUCCCACACGCCAAGCCCCGCUCGUUACCCAUGUAAUGGACUUUCAUCCUUACCACAAACCCGACAGAUAAACAGAGGCCCAGGGAGCUGAAGUUUUCCCAGCAUUUCCCGUUGGAAUUCUCUCCUUCACCCUGAGGAAUGAGACCAAGGGCUCCUCUGAUUGGAACUGGAGGGGACAUGGGUUCGAUCCCUGGUCCGGGAAGAUCCCACAUGCCGUGGAGCAACUAAGCCCAUGAGCCACAACUACUGAGCCCGCGCGCCUACAGCCCGUGCUCCGCAACAAGAGAAGCCACCGCAAUGAGAAGCCCGUGCACCGCCACGAAGAGUAGCCCCCACUCACCGCAACUAGAGAAAGCCCGCGCACAGCAACGAAGACCCAA